CUUGGAUAUGAAGUUUUUUGAUUAAAUCUGCUAAUGGAAGUAGAAGAGGCCUUCAUUUUAACUGGUGGUUGAAUGAUUUGUGAAGAGAAAAAAAGAUGGACCUAAGAUUGCCUAUUUCUUUGAGUUUUGCUUAUGAUCGCUGGUACACCACUAUAGGUAUCUUCAAUUCUGGAGGGUUUUUUUUCCGAGCUUCCUAAAAUAAGCGCUUCAUACCCCCCGAUGAUCAGCAAAGACAAUUUUACUAUUAUUGAUAAC